UUAAGCCCCUUUCACACUGCCAUUCCGGCAAAUACAGGGGUAAAGUGUUCCUGUAAUUGUUCCCUGGUCGCUAGAUUUGGCACUUUCACACUGCCAGUGAUGACCCAGUAUAUGUGCGUGCUUUCACACACAACCCUUGAAGAUCCCGUAACGACACGUGACAUCAGCGCGUGACGUGUAAUGUACGAGUCGACAACGCUUGGCACGUUAUACUUUCACUGAAGCAAGCAAACGGUCUCAGCGUCAGCACGGAAAGUGAGGAACUAACUGAUCUCUGCUUCAUUACAGUUUGCACAUGUGUUUUCGUCGCAAACGUUGAUCUUCCUUCAAAACAGCCGGCAAAAGAGUCGCGCGAUAACGCGCGUCAUCACUUCGAUACGGAAUUAGAUCUGGCUUUUGUUCACACAACGCUCUUCCCGGGUCGAACCCCGCAAUGUUACUAGGUCCCCGACCCGGGUUCAAUUCGGUAAUCAAUUCCGGGACGUGGUUGCUUUCACACAGAAGGCGACCCGGCAAUGUUCCGGAAAUAUUGCGGGUCCGACGUGCAGUGUGAAAGAGGCUUUAGAUACUCGUUUCUCAGGACCAGAAAACCUGAGCUCUUUGCAGCCGCUGUUAUCAGUGAUGUGGCUAGAGCCAGAUCCUGGAUCUUUAUGCAAAUGGAGAACUGGAACCUCUUUUUUUGUUUGUUUUAAGUUCCCAAAUUACAUUAUGGUCACUAGGCAGUCCUAACAACCCGGCAACAUACAGAUCCAACCUCUGGCUUCCCAGAAUACAGUUUUAUUGCUCACAGGAUGCUUUUUCAUAUCUUAGGGGGCUAGAGCUCAUUAAAUAUCAAAUUUGUUUCAGAUUUUUCUCAUUAAAUUGCUUAUGAGAGAAAAAUAUACCGGUACACAAACAAGGUAAUUGUUAAUAAAAGAAUAGAGCUCUGGAAUUAAUGUGGAUAGCAAAGUAUUUGGUCUUGGGGGGAAAAUAAAUGUUUUGUGCUCAUCAGGAAGCUAUUAGUAUUGUAACUAAUUAUAUUUCAUUAAAAAUAAAACUUGUUUUAAAGACUAUGCUGCCUGUUUGACAGAACACAUCCAGUUCGGCUGGCACACAACAUCAGAGCAGAAAUGAGGUGAACUGUCAAAGCAGAACUACUGAUCUAAUUUGUGGAACCGUAGAAAAUGUAGAUAAUGCAGGAACAAGUAGCAAGGAUCAUCAGCGGCGCCAGUUUGAAUCCUUUGAACAAAGGCGAAGACAGAAAAUUGCUGAAAGGAGGGCACAUCUAUGUCAAAUUGUUGAGGCUUUGCAAUACAGUUUCAGUACCCUGAUGGCACCAGGAAAACAAGGAAAUUUGUUGAGUCUCAACCAAUUCAGGAUCUGUUUGCCUUUACUGGUUCAGACGACAUGGCCAGUGAAGUAUUCCGUGUACAGCUGUCCUGGUCACCGAACACUAUACUUAGUACUGUUGAUGGUAGCCUCUCAGAUCAUGAAAUUAGUAGGCCCUCAACCUUAUAUGUGCUUUGGAUGUCAGGUGUUCAAAUAGAGGAAUUAAUUGCAUCCAGUGUUGAAUCUUCAACUGACCAACUGGCUGCUACUCAGGACUUAGGAAGCAUCCCAAGUCCCCUCCAUUCCAGUGAUCAGGAUGUUGGCUUCUCCUUUCCCUAUGCCCUGUUCCAGCUUUCUCACCACCAAUUGACAAUUCUUCGCCCUCGUCACCGCCAUGGUCUUUGAUUUCUCUUUUCCCUUUACUAUUGCCACAUCUCCUAGCCCAGUGGUCUUCAAACCUGGUCCUGGGAACCUGCCGCUCUGUACAUUUUGUCUGUAUUUUAUAUUUUACAUAUUUGAUUCAAAUCAGCUUGUUAAGUGGAAGCUCCAUUAACUGAACAAACUGGUCAGAUAAGAGAUAAAUACAACAUUUCCAGAGCUGUGGGAUUGAAACCGAUUGUUCUUGUUUGUAAAAUGUAAGAUUACGCACAGAUUUACUAACAGCUUGCUCCAGCGCAAACCAUCUUUUGGGGUCACAAAAGUACUGUCAGGAUUUACCAAAGACACGCAGUGAAAAAAGAAUCAAUUUAUUUGUAUUUGUGCCAUUAUUUACAGGCCAAAAAAAAAACGUGACUCAUUUUGCACCUGUUUUGUCACACAUACAUGAUUAUCAGUGGCUUUGAUGUGGUGUGUUCAAUAGAUCAUUGCUUUCCACUACCAAUGGCACUUUUAUGGAUUUGUGCUCUGUUAAGUAAAUUUUGUUGCCCUGUUAAGUAAAUCUGGCCCUAAGUUUAAUACAGUUUGUUGUGUGGAAUUGGGUCUAGACUAAGUUAUGCAAUUAAUGUAGUUAUACUAAGUUAUGCUUUUUUUUUUACUUUACAGUGAAGUUUAUGCAUUAGAUUCUGAAGAUGAGGAGGAUGUGGUGAUGUUGACCUCACCUGUUUAUUCUGACAAUGAAAUUGAUGAUGACGUUUCUGCUGCUGACAUCAUCAGAACAUUUCAGAGGGAAAAUCUAAAUUUGGAAGAAAGGGUUGAUUGUAGUGGCCAGAAGGAGGAAAAUUCUUCAUAGUGCAUGUACUGCACUGAAAACUAGCUACUUUGCAUGGCACAAAUCCCCACAAAUUGAAUUUGUAGGUGAAAGUGCUGAUGACUAUGGGGGACCUAGCAGAGAAUUUUUCAGGCUUCUGAUGCAGGGUGUGCAGUCAUCAUUCGGAGUUUUUGAGGGGAAAACAGGCCAGAUGUUUUUCACGUAUGACCAAGUGGCUGUGGAAACAAAGCGUUAUUACACAGCAGGAAAGCUCAUUUCUUGGUCUCUAAUGCACGGUGGACCUAGUUUCAAUGCACUAAAUACCACAUUGUACAAAUUAAUGUGUGGCCAGGCAGAUUCUGCCGAAGAAUUGUAAUGGAGUUUCUUUCUUUUAAGGUUUUUUUUUGUCAGACCCAAGAAGACAAUGACCGAAUAGUGUCAAGCCUGGGAGACUGGAUUGCUGACUGUGGUGUGCCUGGAAUUUUUUUAGUGCAGCACCUAAUAUGAGACGGAUCUAUGGUCAGCUAAUCAAACACCACAUUUACUUCAGUUUGGAAAUCUCUUGGAACAUAUUUAUUUUAGAACAGCAGACAUGAUCGCCCAAUUCAAGGAAGGCAUGAACUCCUGUGGCAACUUGUGGCAGAUUGUCGAAAAAAACUGGAAGGUCUUCCUUCCCUUGUUCACGAAUGAGGAGAAACAAUUAACAAGAGAAGAAUUUAGAGCCCUAUUCACCAUUUGCUGGAGUGAGGAGGGAAGCAACCUCAGGGAAAAGGAGGAAGACACCAUAUUUUGCUGGGAGCUCCUGCUGAAUUCAAUUAAGGAAAAACAAUCAACAAUCACCUUCCAGGAGAUGCUGGUAUUUAUUACUGGUGCAGACAGCAUUCCCCCACUGGGCUUCCCCGGAGAACCGAGAAUUGAGUUUUACACUCAACAAAAUCGCCGGCUUCCAUUUGCAUCAACUUGUGGCAUGGUGCUCUUUUUGCCUCGAGGCAUCCAAGAAGAGGAGGAGUUGACUGACCUGCUUAGCACAGCACUCAAAGGUUACCUUGGAUUUGGAAAAAUUUAAUUUAGUUACUUUCGUCAAAUGUUAAUUAAAGGGAUAGUUGACCCUUAAAAUAAUUUUCUGUCAUUAAUUACUCACCCUCAUGUUGUUCCAAACCCACCCAUAAACGUUUUGUGAACCCAUAAACAAAUUAAGAUAUUUUUAAUGAAAUCUGAGAGCUUUCUGUCCCUUCAUUACAUCUAUGUAACUACCAAUGUCAUGCAUGAAAAAGUUCAUAAAUAAAUCGUAAAACGAAUCCAUAUGAAUUGAGUUCUUUAGUCAAAAUUUUCUGAAGAGACACAAUCUCUUUAUAUGAUGAACAGAUUGAAUUUAGGCUUUUAUUCACAUAUAAACAUUCAUCAACUCACACAUCAGUUGUAAACAAAAGCUCAAGCUUGUUAGCACAUUGUGCGAGAACCAAUGAGGUUCCUUCAAACAUGCUUGAGCUUACGUUUAUCAUAAAUUAUGUGUGUUGAUGAAUAUUUAUAUGUGAAUACAAGGCUAAAUUCAAUCUGUUCAUCACAUAAAGCGAUCGUGUUUUUUUGAAGAAUAUUUUGGAAUAAAACGCUUAAUUCAUAUGGAUUAGUUUUACAAUCUAUCUAUGAAGCUUCAAAGUGGUAGUUGCGUAGCUGUCAAUGGAGGGGCAGAAAGUUCUCAGAUUUCAUCAAAAAUAUCUUCAUUUGUGUUUUGAAGAUGAACAAAGGUCUUACGGGUUUGGAACAACAUGAGGGUGAGUAAUUACUGACAGAAUUUACAUUUUUGGGCGAAAUAUGUCAUUAAGUUCAGUGAAAAUGUUUUUUUCAAAAACUUUAUUUUUCUUGAAUGUUAACAAUGCAGAUGCAUAAAACACAGUUUAGAAAUACACAAUUAAAAGAGAACACUUCCAAUGGAAAAGUGGAUUUUGUACAGUUUCAACAGUUGGUGAUCUUGCAUAAUUAAUUAAAAGACUUUGAAUUUGUUUGUUUUACUCUGAAAAUAAACAUUCCAAAAAUAAGAGGAAAUGUUGCAUCAUCUGUUUUAUUUCAUUACACUAUUGCAGAAUCCAAAUAAGAAAUGAUAUUUUCAGUCCUUGGUCAUGUAUUUCGAGACAAAUAUAUAGACUGUAGUUCAGUUAUAUUUUAAAAAUGAGUGCAGCAUUGUUUCUCAAAAUCAUUGUGAAAUGCAAAGAUCUAAAUAUAAUGUUGUAAAUAAAAAUACUUAAGAAAUCUAGGUUUAUAUGAGUAGAGCACCCAAAAUUAAUACUUGGUCAAUACUUGCUCAAUCUUAAAAAGAAUGACUGGUGUAGAAAGAAAUUAUGAAAUGAUCUGUAUUGGUGGCCAAAAGUAAAAAAAAAAAAAAAGAUCUUAAUGAUCAAGGCUGCAUUAAUAUAAUAAAUAUUAAUAAUCAGCAAAAACAGUAAUAUUGUAAAAAUAUAA